rnacentral:rRNA from 1 species
AAAUUGAAGAGUUUGAUCAUGGCUCAGAUUGAACGCUGGCGGCAGGCCUAACACAUGCAAGUCGAACGGUAACAGGAAGCAGCUUGCUGCUUCGCUGACGAGUGGCGGACGGGUGAGUAAUGUCUGGGAAACUGCCUGAUGGAGGGGGAUAACUACUGGAAACGGUGGCUAAUACCGCAUAACGUCGCAAGACCAAAGAGGGGGACCUUCGGGCCUCUUGCCAUCAGAUGUGCCCAGAUGGGAUUAGCUAGUUGGUGAGGUAACGGCUCACCAAGGCGACGAUCCCUAGCUGGUCUGAGAGGAUGACCAGCCACACUGGAACUGAGACACGGUCCAGACUCCUACGGGAGGCAGCAGUGGGGAAUA